rnacentral:rRNA from 1 species
UGGGGAAUAUUGGACAAUGGGCGCAAGCCUGAUCCAGCCAUGCCGCGUGAGUGAAGAAGGCCUUCGGGUUGUAAAGCUCUUUUGGCGGGGACGAUGAUGACGGUACCCGCAGAAUAAGCCCCGGCUAACUUCGUGCCAGCAGCCGCGGUAAGACGAAGGGGGCGAGCGUUGUUCGGAAUCACUGGGCGUAAAGGGCGCGUAGGCGGCGCAGUCAGUCAGGCGUGAAAGCCCCGAGCUCAACUUGGGAAUAGCGCUUGAUACUAUUGUGCUAGAGAGCGGGAGAGGAUGGUGGAAUUCCCAGUGUAGAGGUGAAAUUCGUAGAUAUUGGGAAGAACACCGGUGGCGAAGGCGGCCAUCUGGACCGUUUCUGACGCUGAGGCGCGAAAGCGUGGGGAGCAAACAGG